rnacentral:tRNA from 1 species
AUGGCGGAAUGGUAGACGCGCUAGAUUUCGGUUCUAGUAAUUAUGGUAAGCCUAACGGCUGUCGGUUCGAGUCCGACU